AGUCCAGUCGGACUGAUGGGGUAUAAUUUCAACCAGUCCGCAGAAAAUUUUAUCAGUCCAACGGAGUUUUCCAGAAAUAAUUAAACAUAUUUCAUUAAUGUUAUUAAAAUGAAAUUAAACUCAAUAUGUCUCAGAUAAUAUUGUAACAUUUAAAUGUGGGAUUUAUAUUUAUGAAUCAGAUUCGUCUGAUAUCUACAGAUCGAAGCAUGCCAAAUGUGUGUAUAAAAUUUCAUAAGUAUAUUUUCCAAAAUGAUGCUUUAGAAAAUUAACCAGUCCCAUCGGACUGACUAAAACAAAUGUAAGUCAGUCCGCCAGACUUUUAACCAGUCACAGACUGACGGGCAUAUGUUAAUUUCGAGCCCUGCCCCCCGUUAUAAUGCCACCCCCGCAUAUCACCAAAAAAGUUCCCGUAUUCCUCGCUAUGUAAAACUCCGUUAUAAUAUCAUCCCCACGUAUACCGCCAUCCUAUUUACAGGUACGAUUUAGUCAAUUACCGUUAUAACUACCCCCGCUAAUUAUCGUCAAUCAGUGAAAUUCAGUGAGCAGGCUUAACCAAUUAUCCGCCGUUAGUCCUCCAGGUAUCAAAGUUUGGAGCAGAUAAUAAGUACAGUCAAAACUGCCAUAGCGACCCACUGUAUUAAGCGACUCACUGUCGUAUGUGACCAUAAAAAGUUCCCCCCAAGAUGUUAUUCUAUAUAUUGUACCUGUAUUAAAUGACCACCUGUCUGACGCGACCAACGACCAUGAUUUUCACAACCUUUUCGUGCAUUUUAACGAAAUUUUACCUCUAUUUAACGACUGUACAUUUUUCGAUUACAACGUGAUUACUACUUUCGAUUUCGGUUGAGCCGACUAUUCUGGGAAUUAUCUCCCCUAACACUUUCGUUUUCAAACGCACGACUAUUCUGGGAAUUAUCGCCCCUAAUACUUUCGUUUUAAUACGCACAGUUUGUCGAUGAUCUUGAUUAGUCGGCCAUCUGAAUAAAUCAUUAUACCUAAGCUGUCAACAUGCAGUGUCCUGUGUGGUUAAUUAAUAAAACCCGCAUUGUUGUUUAUUUAACAAAAUCAAGGAUCAGGGAAUCAAGGCCGGUGUAUUUGAAGGUGUGAAUUUCGACAAACUUUAAGAAGUGCCGGGUAGGCUAGAUCGGAAAUGAAAAUCUACCACUUGUUAUAGUAAAAAAAAUUGCCUGAUUGCGAUAUAAAUCAGGUAAAUAUUGUGCUCAGGACUAAAAUUUCCCGAUUGCGAUAUAAAUCAGGUAAAUAUUGUGCUCAGGACUAAAAUUUUAAACGGAGUAUUCACAGUUUUCCUUCAUGAGAUACUAAAGGUUUCCAGAAUAAUGACCGGAACUAGCGGCUCACUUCGACAUGUCCCGAGUAUUUGACAUGUCCGAGUUCAAGAAAAUUGCCUGCAUUAGUUCUAAGCUUAAAAUAUUUGCUGUGCAUAUAUAAGUAUGUUUUUGGUUUUGGGUAAAUUCUUAAUAUCCUCAUUAAACCCAAUGUAUAAAAGUAAAAUGGAGCUGAAAAAUUGCCAAACACCUUUUAUUCAGCUCUCAGGAAUGUGUACUGAUAAUAAAAUAUAUUUCUUUUUUUUUUUAAAUUGUUUUCACUUUAGAAAAAAAAAAUCAAAGUCCAUGAACCAACUUUUUUUCCAUUGAAAAAUGUUACAUAAAUUUUCUUAGGAUCUUUAAAUGAUAGAUUAGAGAUUUAAUAAGCUUAGAGGCAUAUGAUAAGUAUGUUUUUGAGUAAUAUGAUUGUGUUAUAUAAUGCUCUGAAAAUAACAUAAAUGCCACCCUUGAAACGAAUUAGAAAAUACAUUACUGAAAUUAAUAUUACGUUCGUAGCCUGUCGUGUCCGAAAAUGAAGAAAAAAUAUGAUGCCUCUUAAUAUUUCAUGACGAGAAUUUAUUUACCGUAUCACGUGUUGUUUGCAUAUUUCAUGUCGUUAUUAACUCAGUAAAUGAAUACCAAGCCAAUUGUGAUUGUGUUACUUAUUUUAUUUUUCAAACGAUUUUCAUGGUUACUUUUGGAGUCCGAUUCGUUACGAACAUAAAUCACCUGGUUGCUAGUACGAUUGAGAUUCAUAUGAUGUAUUUCGAUUUCUAUUCUAUUACGUCACCGAUGCUGAACUCCCUAUGUGUAAUUGAACUCGCCCACAGAUUUGCAUUGUGGGAUAGCGAUGGCGGUAAAUACAGUGUCCACAAAACGAUGAUUUCGUUACGAACAUGAUUCGUCGUUAACUGAUGCAGAAAAAUUCAUCAAGGAAGUUUGUGGGGGUGAAUACCUUCUCCAAUUUAUGCUGCGGAAAGGAGACAGAUUAUAUUGGCCCCCUGUGGAUGAAUUCUCUUGGGAGCCAUAUGAUAACAUACAUCGACUUUUGCCAAUACCUGUUUUGUCCAAUUAAGCAGUCUUCCUCUGGAAGACAAUUAUUUUAAUUUUGAAACAUUCACACUCGCUCAUGCUAUUCAAAAUUCAUAUUGAUGUUGCAUUGAAAUAAAUGUUUUCCUUAGCGCUGAAAAAA